rnacentral:rRNA from 1 species
UGAGGAAUAUUGGGCAAUGCCCGAAAGGGUGACCCAGCAACGCCGCGUGGAGGAUGAAGGUCGUAAGAUUGUAAACUCCUGUUAGAGGGGAAGAAUAACUAAGUUUGGAGCUUAGUAUGACUGUACCCUCAGAGAAAGCCCCGGCUAACUACGUGCCAGCAGCCGCGGUAAUACGUAGGGGGCAAGCGUUGUCCGGAUUUACUGGGUGUAAAGGGCGCGCAGGCGGAAUGGAAAGUCAGUGGUGAAAUCCUACAGCUUAACUGUAGAACUGCCUUUGAUACUUUCAUUCUUGAGUUCGGGAGAGAGAGGCGGAAUUCCAGGUGUAGUGGUGAAAUACGUAGAUAUCUGGAAGAACACCAGUUGCGAAGGCGGUCUCUUGGUCCGAUACUGACGCUGAGGCGCGAAAGCGUGGGGAGCAAACA